UACGUAGGGUGCGAGCGUUAAUCGGAAUAAUUGGGCGUAAAGGGUGCGCAGGCGGUAAGUUAAGAUGGAUGUGAAAUCCCCGGGCUUAACCUGGGAACGGCAUACAUGACUGGCUCACUAGAAUAUGGCAGAGGGAGGUAGAAUUCCACGUGUAGCAGUGAAAUGCGUAGAGAUGUGGAGGAACACCGAUGGCGAAGGCAGCCUCCUGGGUCAAUAUUGACGCUCAGGCACGAAAGCGUGGGGAGCAAACAGG
rnacentral:rRNA from 1 species